rnacentral:rRNA from 1 species
GGUGGAUUAGUGGCGAACGGGUGAGUAACACGUGAGCAAUCUGCCCUUGACUCUGGGAUAACUGCGGGAAACUGUAGCUAAUACCGGAUACGACACCUUGGGGCAUCCCGAGGUGUGGAAAGAAUUUUGGUCAAGGAUGAGCUCGCGGCCUAUCAGCUAGUUGGUGAGGUAAAGGCUCACCAAGGCGACGACGGGUAGCCGGCCUGAGAGGGUGACCGGCCACACUGGAACUGAGAUACGGUCCAGACUCCUACGGGAGGCAGCAGUGGGGAAUAUUGCACAAUGGGCGAAAGCCUGAUGCAGCAACGCCGCGUGAGGGAUGAAGGCCUUCGGGUUGUAAACCUCUUUUAUCAGGGAAGAAGCGAAAGUGACGGUACCUGAAGAAAAAGCACCGGCUAACUACGUGCCAGCAGCCGCGGUAAUACGUAGGGUGCAAGCGUUGUCCGGAAUUAUUGGGCGUAAAGAGCUCGUAGGCGGUUUGUCGCGUCUGCUGUGAAAAUCCAAGGCUCAACCUUGG